rnacentral:lncRNA from 1 species
CAGUGGUAUAUAUAUAACACCAAAAAAAUUAACUCAGAAAUAGAUAACUGUAAAAGUUUUGCUCUUUAAUGAAUUACUUACACAGAUAAUAACCCAAAUUUAAUAGAAUAUUCAUAAAAGUACUAUUGAGAAACAUACAUUUAUUAUAUAUGAGUAUAUAACCCGGAUGCGCCUUCUAAACUGCAUCCAACAAAAAUAGUCAUGAAAAUGCAAUAGAAAAACAUGUGAUGGAACUGUAUGUUCUUUUGAUCAGUGAUUACAAAAUGUUAAUUAAUUUCAAUAUUAAUAAAGUGGGGACAUAUAUGAAAUAUAAACACCAUCUUCAAAUCUCAAGAUAAUCAUAACAUAUUAAUAUACAAUUCAAGAUCAGACCAUCAGAGAAAAACACAUUCCUUAAUUAUAGGGCAAAUGCUUGUGGAGCAGGGUGUUAAACGGGUCGUGUUUGCGGUUUGGCGGGUUCAACGCGACCCGAAACCGAAAAUUUUAGAUGAACCCGAACACGACCUGAGCCCGAAAAUCGUGCCAUAA